GAAUAGGAAAAUACAUUAAGAUCCAAAAUAGAAUAAGAAAAUAGCUAAGUCCUAAAUAGAAUAGAAAAUUAAACAUAAAUCAGAAUAGAAAAUUUAAAACUAAAUCUACAGCUCUUUUCCCAUCCCCCCUCAGCAUCAAAUUGAAAUACAAAAAUAGAUAUCCAACUUUCCACAAAUUUAAACCCUUGCCCCUGCCUAGAACACACAGAGGAAGUGCACACACAAUCUGACUGCCACCUUCCACUACCCAAUUGCUGUAGCUGCUGCCUGCUUGUGAAACACCAACAAUUUCUUCAGUUAUUACUAAGCUGAAUAGUCCUUUCAGAAAACAGCGCUUUUUAUCAGAAUGACCUAAUUUUUACUUUGCAAUGUUAAAUUUGGAGAGAGCGUUUGACAAAU
rnacentral:misc_RNA from 1 species